GACGAACGCUGGCGGCGCGCUUAACACAUGCAAGUCGAACGGAAAGGCCCUGCUUUUGUGGGGUGCUCGAGUGGCGAACGGGUGAGUAACACGUGAGUAACCUGCCCUUGACUUUGGGAUAACUUCAGGAAACUGGGGCUAAUACCGGAUAGGAGCUCCUGCUGCAUGGUGGGGGUUGGAAAGUUUCGGCGGUUGGGGAUGGACUCGCGGCUUAUCAGCUUGUUGGUGGGGUAGUGGCUUACCAAGGCUUUGACGGGUAGCCGGCCUGAGAGGGUGACCGGCCACAUUGGGACUGAGAUACGGCCCAGACUCCUACGGGAGGCAGCAGUGGGGAAUAUUGCACAAUGGGCGGAAGCCUGAUGCAGCAACGCCGCGUGCGGGAUGACGGCCUUCGGGUUGUAAACCGCUUUCGCCUGUGACGAAGCGUGAGUGACGGUAAUGGGUAAAGAAGCACCGGCUAACUACGUGCCAGCAGCCACGGUGAUACGUAGGGUGCGAGCGUUGUCCGGAUUUAUUGGGCGUAAAGGGCUCGUAGGUGGUUGAUCGCGUCGGAAGUGUAAUCUUGGGGCUUAACCCUGAGCGUGCUUUCGAUACGGGUUGACUUGAGGAAGGUAGGGGAGAAUGGAAUUCCUGGUGGAGCGGUGGAAUGCGCAGAUAUCAGGAGGAACACCAGUGGCGAAGGCGGUUCUCUGGGCCUUUCCUGACGCUGAGGAGCGAAAGCGUGGGGAGCGAACAGGCUUAGAUACCCUGGUAGUCCACGCUGUAAACGGUGGGUACUAGGUGUGGGGUCCAUUCCACGGGUUCCGUGCCGUAGCUAACGCUUUAAGUACCCCGCCUGGGGAGUACGGCCGCAAGGCUAAAACUCAAAGGAAUUGACGGGGCCCCGCACAAGCGGCGGAGCAUGCGGAUUAAUUCGAUGCAACGCGUAGAACCUUACCUGGGUUUGACAUGGAUCGGGAGCGCUCAGAGAUGGGUGUGCCUCUUUUGGGGUCGGUUCACAGGUGGUGCAUGGCUGUCGUCAGCUCGUGUCGUGAGAUGUUGGGUUAAGUCCCGCAACGAGCGCAACCCUUGUUCACUGUUGCCAGCACGUUAUGGUGGGGACUCAGUGGAGACCGCCGGGGUCAACUCGGAGGAAGGUGGGGAUGACGUCAAGUCAUCAUGCCCCUUAUGUCCAGGGCUUCACGCAUGCUACAAUGGCUGGUACAGAGAGUGGCGAGCCUGUGAGGGUGAGCGAAUCUCGGAAAGCCGGUCUCAGUUCGGAUUGGGGUCUGCAACUCGACCUCAUGAAGUCGGAGUCGCUAGUAAUCGCAGAUCAGCAACGCUGCGGUGAAUACGUUCCCGGGGCU
rnacentral:rRNA from 1 species